UAUACUGAGUCUGAUUACAUAUUCCCUGGCCGUCAUUUUACACGGGGGAAAUAUUUAUAGCUCUNAGAUCGGCCUGUACGGUAUCAGCUUGUUGGUGAGGUAAUGGCUCACCAAGGCUAUGACGCCUAACUGGUUUGAGAGGAUGAUCAGUCACACUGGAACUGAGACACGGUCCAGACUCCUACGGGAGGCAGCAGUGGGGAAUAUUGCACAAUGGACGAAAGUCUGAUGCAGCAACGCCGCGUGGAGGAUGACACAUUUCGGUGCGUAAACUCCUUUUAUAUGAGAAGAAAAUGACGGUAUCAUAUGAAUAAGCGCCGGCUAACUCCGUGCCAGCAGCCGCGGUAAUACGGAGGGCGCAAGCGUUACUCGGAAUCACUGGGCGUAAAGAGCGUGUAGGCGGGUAUUUAAGUUGGAAGUGAAAUCCUAUGGCUCAACCAUAGAACUGCUUCCAAAACUGAAUACCUAGAAUAUGGGAGAGGUAGAUGGAAUUUCUGGUGUA
rnacentral:rRNA from 1 species